AUAUAAAGGCCUUUGUAUGUUUGGAUGUACGAAUAUUUUGUGUGACAUAUUUUUUAAAUUUUUAUAAUAAAUUUGUAAUUUAUGAUAGAUAACGAGCGCGAUCAAAUUUUUUGAAUGUAAAGACCUUUAUUUUUUUUCAAAAUAAGAUAAAGCACAAUUUAAGAAAAAUAUACUAUUUUACCAAAUCAUAAAUACUGAGACAUUGUAAUAUCUGAUAGAUAAUGAGUGUGAUCAAAUGUUCUUAAUAUAAAGACCAUUAUUUUCUUUUGAAAUAAGAUAAAGUACAAUAUAAGAAAAAUCUACUAUCUUGUCAAAUCAUAAAUACUGAAACAUUUUAUAAAGCAAAAUUUAAAUUUCUAGCUUCCAAUCAAAGAAAAAAAAAAUCUUUAUAUCAAACAAAUUAGGGUAAACUUCAAAUACCACCCUUGUGGUUUCGUAUUUUCUCACUUUAAUACCCUGUGGUUUAAAGUGUAUCAAUUUAGCCCUCUAGUUUUAUUUCUCUCUUUUCGCCAGCCCCUUCGUUAACUUUUUGUUAAAUCAUAUACAAAAAACUUCAGAUAUCUCACCUAUAUUUUAUCGAAUAUUCAGUUUAGCACUAUUUAGUUUUAACUUUGUCACUGAUUUAACGAAAAAAAUUAGUGGAGGGAUAACAAAAAGAGAAAAAUAAAAUCACAGGGUAUGAAAAUGAUACAUUUUAAACCACAGGAUACUAAAGUGAAAAAGUACGAAACUACAGGCCGGGG
rnacentral:lncRNA from 1 species